rnacentral:tRNA from 1 species
ACGGGUGUGGCGGAAUUGGUAGACGCGCUAGACUUAGGAUCUAGUGCCUUUGGCGUGGGGGUUCGAGUCCCUUCAUCCGUA